CAAUGAAUCAUGGGAAUCUACCCCCAAAACCAAGAGCACAGUGUAUACACUGUAUGUUAGCCAUCUUGACAAUAAAUUAUAUUAAAAAAAAAAAAGUCUUUUCAAUUGCUUCUAUUUCUAAGUGACAUAAUAUGCAGUUACCAGCUGAAAAUGAAGACCAGAGAUGGAUAUUAGUAGUUUGAGGAGAAGGAGAAAUAGUGAAAUAGUCAUUUAGGAGAGAGAGUGAACUGACUGGCUAGGUGCUGUAGGAUUGCUAAGAGCACACUAGAGUUGAGUGGUCAUAAAUCUAAAAUGAAGCCAGUCAGUAUGUGGUGAUUAAUUAAUGCAGGGGAUGAGAAAUGUGGAGUGAGGAAAGGAAAGCACCUAGAAUAGCUCCCGAGUCUUGCCUUGAGCAAUGGUUAUAUAUUGGUGCAUUGAAUCAGGGGAUGCAGGUGAAACAGGCAUAGAGUAGGGAGUAGAGAUAGUGUGACUUCAGUUUUUAAGAUGUUAACUAAAAAGUGCUUAUAGGAUAUGUAUAUGGACUGGUAUUCGGCCAUAAUUUAAAUACGUAAGUUUUCAAAAGCAAAGGAAAAUUUUAGGGUUGGUGAUAUCAAUUCACAUCACCACCCCAUGUAAACGUGAAUUAAUUGAAUGCCAUUGGUUAGAUGUAGGGUUUAGAAUGAGCCUCAUUGUGAUGUUUGUUAGUUGUAGAAUGUUUGUGGGGGGCUGAGUUAUUAAGGAAGAAAACAUGAGGAAUGGGGAGGCACAGAGAACUUCACCGUGGAAGAUGCAAACGUAGAGGUUUGUAUACUACCCACUAAUGAGCUAUGCCCAAAUGUUGGACUGAGGGCACCAUGCCAUUGAUUGGGCCCAUUGAUCUGACAACUACUCUGUACUUGUGCUGCUUGACUAUUUUUUUUUAAAGAAAACUACUUUAUUUAGAAAUUUUUUGUUGGAGUCAGAUGUCAUUUGAACUGAACUGAAUAUAACUGAAACAUAACUGAAUAUUCUUCUAGCUUUCAAUGCAUAUAGAAAUAUUUUAUUACAGAGAAGGAACUUUAUAUACAUGCGGUAAUUGAUUGUUUGAAAGUACAAAUAAAAAUGUCAACCAAAUCUGUUAUGUUAAAAGCCUCUGACUUUGUUAUUAUUUUAUUUUAAAUUAAUUAUCUCUUUUGAAUGUUCCACUAUAGAUGUUUAAAACCUGAUUCCUAAAUACACCAUUUUCUUUAAAUUUCUCAGAUUUUUAAACUUAUUUUUAUCUCAUUUUUUUAAAAACAUCUGAUUUAGAAUAAAUUACUUCUUUGGUUUAAUUGUAGGGACAUUCUAAGAUCUCUAAACAUAGUCUUACUAGUUGUGUACCACAUACUUCUUAAAACUAAUAUCUUGAAAUGUUUCAUAGUUAAAUAAUCCAAAAAACAAUUACAGAAAUCAAUAGUGUCAAGAUAAUGUUUAGGGAAUAAAUUAAAGCAUUGGACAUAUGCCCAACAGCAGAGAAAAAAAUGCUUUUAAGGGAACUAUGUUAAUACAUUUUUAAUGAUAUUCUACAUCAUAAUAUGUAGUAUUAUGAAAUUGAUCAGAUUGACUUCAUAUGGUAAUGCAUUUUGCAUACUUUUAUUAAAUUGUAUUCAAAUUCAAUGCCUUGUAAUCAUUUAAAACAGAAGUGUCAUUUUAAAUUUUAUAAUACGCUAAAUAGUUAAAUAAUUUAACAUGAAAAAUUUAAUGUACCAUUUUGAUAAUGUAUCAGGAUUUACAGAGAAUUGGUUUCUUUUAUCUUUUAUUCCUGAAUCCCUAAAAUAAAGAGUGUCAGCAUAUGAAAUUCAAUUUGUAUUUUCUCCUGUAAAAAUUUAUCUACACUAGAUUUAGAAUACAAUGCUUUGGGGAGUUAAAUAAAUUUUUCAAAUUUGAAAAUUAAAAUGUGUGCACCUAAUUAUGGUUUUCUGAUCGAUAUAUGCAUUUAUCUUUUUGUGCCAUCUUGAGAGAAGGACUUUAUUCAACCUCCAGGAUGGGUCGUGUAUAACAAACACAGUAUUGGAAUAAACUGAAAUUUCUUGCUUACUUGUUAUGUGUUUGCUUGCAUAUAGUUUUUUUUUUUUUGAGAUUUUAUUUUUAAGUAAUCUCUACACCCAGCAUGGGCCUCGAACUCACAACUCCCAAGAUCAAAAGUUGCAUGCUCCACCCACUGAGCCAGCCAGCCACCCCUGCUUGUGUGUUUGUGUGUGCAUAAGUAUGGUUAAUACAGCUUCACAUAAUCUUAUUUACAUUUACCCCUUCACUAUUAUUAGACAGAGAUAACCCCCACUGUAUUUUGUAGACAUCUUUUUCUUCCUCCUCACAUGCCACCUUUGUACACACUCGGGGAUUAAUUACUGGGCAGAUUCUGUCCUUUGUGUCUGUGUACUGAUAACAGCUAAUCGUCUAGUAAAUUUUGGCUCACUUUCUAUACUCAAAUAGCUUUGCUAUUAACAAGGCAGGAUUUUUAGCAGAUCAGAACACAAAACCAACUUUAGAGUUAGACAAUUUUGAGUUCAUUCUGCAUUUUCUAGCUAUGUGAUUCUGAGUGAAUGACUUAAGCUCCCUAAGCCUUAAUUCCUCAUUUGCGAAAUGGGAUAAUGAUACAUAUAAGGAUCCUUACCUCGCAAGAUUAUCAUCAAUAUGAAUUGAAUACCAUAAGCAAAACAUCUAGCCAUGAUUUGCUUAUAGUACUUGGUUAUUAUAUUAUCAUUAUUUUAAUUCAGUUCAUCUGGACUAGUUUCUGAGACCUAGUCAUGUAUAUCUACUUAGAUGUUGUGGUGGAUAUGAUACAGAGUGUCUUCUUAACAAAGGGUAAUGUUCCUCCUUCUCAGAAUGGUCCAGAUAGUCAGAAGUGCAUCAUGAUAUGGCUUCUUUGAUCAGAAUCAAUCAGAGUAUGAAUAGGACCUGAUUCAAGUCAUGCCAAACAAGGUCCCAACCUAGACAUUUUCAAAGUAAAGCAAGAGAAAGAGCUUUAUGGAAUCUGUCUCUGAGGGCAGAGCUAAAAGAUGUGAUGCUCAAAAAGUACCAGCAGUUUGCACAGUUUGCACAGUACCACGUGAUGGGAUCAGGUUGUUAAUUAGAAUACAGUUGAAAGUAGGAAGAAACACUACUUCGUUUUUUAUUGUUUGUUGAGCACCUCCUUGCUGGAUAGUGAUAAGCACUAAGGGCUCACAAAAGUGAGCAGAACCAGUCAAGUCUCCUGCUUCUUGGAGUGUAUGAGCUAAUGAAAUGUCCAGUGUUGAAGACAAGGCACUGAAGGAGUAAAUAUAACCAUGAGUGACUGAUUAGACACUAAGUGCUGUGAAGGAAGGAAUAGGGUCCAGGGACAGGAUGGACUAGAGAGUUAGGAAAAUCUUCUGUGAAUAAGUCACACUUAAGCCAAUACAGUGAAUCCUAGAAGUGGCUAUCUAGGCAGAGAUGGAGAGGAGGGUGGCUCAGGUAGGGGGAAAAAAGAUGUGCAAAGAAAAUGAAGAGGAACAGGAAGUAUUUAAAAAACUAAAUGAAAACUCAGUUAUGAAGUGGUGAUUCACAGUGUAGACUAUGGACCCAUACUGCUUGGUUUUGAACAAAGAGCUACUAGUAACUACCUGUUGCUCUUUGAGCAAAUUAUUUAACCACGUUCUGUAUCAACUUUAUCAAAUGUUUAAGGGAAUCACACAAGUUACAUAGUAACCUCAGAGUGGUCUGCGAGGGGACUAAGGGAAAUGAUAUAUGUAAAGCACUUGACACAAUGUGUUCAGCAUGCGCUAAGAAUUCAACCUAUAAAGGGUGAAUCUUAGAGGGUAAAAACUCAAGAAGAGGCCGAGAAGUAGUGAAGAGCAUGAGAAAUUAUCUGGUCUCCAUUUUGGACAGCUCUCCAAGUCUGUAGAGUAGAAAAUAUAUUUGACACGUAGGAUUAGAUGUGAGGAAGCAAUUCCUAUACUGCAGGGUUAGGUGAUGAGGCUUUGAUGCAGCUGGUGGCAGUUGUGGGGACAGAUUUUAGAGUGUUUGGGAAAUAAGAUCUAUAGGACUUGGACAAAAAUUGAAAAUGAAUGUAAAGGAGAAGAAAAGGUAUCAGGAGUAGCAAGGAACUUCUGAGAUCAGAAGCUAGAGGGACAGGAAAUACACCUAAGAACAAAAAUACAAUGCAAGGCAUUAAGUCUUAUUGUCAAGAUAGGAACAAAUUGCAGACUGAGCACAGAGGAGGGGAUGUGUUUGUAAACAAUCUGAGGAUCUUUGGGAAUUUCCAUUAUAGAGUUUGGAAAUUUGUUGCUUUAUUUAUUUUUAUUACUAUUAUUAUUAUUUUUACACAAGCAAAAUAGGGAGACUGAAAAUAAUGGCGCAAUUAUUUUCCUAUGCUUCCCUCUGAAAAAAAUCAGGUGGUUACUCACCAGAAACACAAAUUUUCAAUAGCUGUUGAAUGAUCUUUAUGUUUUAUUAUUUUAUCAAAACUCCCAUAUACAUUGAAAUCCAUUAUUCAGUGCUGAUUUCCAAAUACAAAAACAGAAUUAGAAAAAGUGAACAUUUUUGAUAGGCACACCCUAGAUAUUGGACCCUCUGGUCUCACCAUGCAGAGAAAACUUCUCUCUUCCGUGGGGGAUGUGUGCUGAUGGGGAGAGGGAGAAUAGUGUGCACUCCAUGCUCUUUGUUUUCUUCUGGGAGAGAAGAAUUUCCUCUCUGUCUAUGGAAGCUUGAGAAGUAGGGAUGAGCUUGCUGUGGGGGCACAGCUGAAUGAUGCAGCAAGUUGAAACUGAAUAAUUGAUUGAAGUUUCUGGAAAUUGAACUUAUGGGUAUGUGGGGGCCAUAUUUUAUUUUGAAUAAAACAACAGAGAUAUCUGGUAUAAAAAUACUUUCUUCUUUAAGGGUUAGAGUCUACUCCUGAAACCAAAACGACACUGUAUGUUAACUAACUUGAAUUUAAAUAAAUAAAUUAAAAAAAAAAAAAAGAAUUAGAGUAUGCCAACAGAAGUCAAUGAUCAAUGCAAAUUUCUAAAAUAAAUUUUUUUUUGUAAUAAUUCCACAGUUUUAGGUAAGGCUAAAAAAACAGACAGAAGUAAAGUUGAAGAUCAAAAUAGAACAAAUUUAUGAAGUUUCGUAAGCAUUCCUAUCAGCACGAAACAGAUUUUUGCAUCAUUUAAAAAAACCAGACUAACUUAAGGUAAGCAACAUUAUCUAUACAACAAACUUGUCUUUAAGGAAAUCUAAUGGUGUUGACACAUAAAGUGGAAAAGACUUUUUAAAAAUGUGUAUUUUAACACUGUGGUUGAGUUAUUAAAUAACAUUUAUUGUGCUUCCAUUUAGAACAUUUGAAUAAAGAAAAGCCUAUACAAUUUCAUAUGUUUUUCUUUCUUAACAUGUGAAAAGAGAGAACCAUUAAGUAAACAUACAGUCAUUUUAAUGAGAAGUAUUUCCAAAUAUCAAAUGCAAUAAUAUUUUAAUUUCUCAUUAUUUUUCAUAUUUACCAUGCAGUAGAUUAAAAAAACACAGAAAAUUUAGAAAUGAUUGAAAUUUGAAAUGAAUAUUGUUAUUAUACUGGCCUAACAAUGUCAUGAUUCUUCCGCAGGGGCUCAGUAUCACACUUGAGUAUCUUGAUAGAUAUCAUAGAUGUUAGGUUAUUAUCAAAUCUGACAGAAAAGGCUGUGAUUUGAAAGCUUCCUUAAGAAUUCUAUCUGUAAUUUCUGUUAACAUUUGACAGAGUUUCAUGACAUUAGAACCACUAAGCUCAUUGAAAUUCAACAUUGGCUGAGUUUCUUGCAUACGCUUCUCAUUUACAGAUAACACUUCUAUUUCCUGACACAGAGAUUCAAAAUGAAUACCUCAAGCAGGAAAACAAAACAAAACAAACUACAAAAAAAUUCAUUUCAAAAUAAAACCAAACACACCAGAACAAGUACCAUACUGAGAAACGUUUU